rnacentral:rRNA from 1 species
GGUGAACGCUGGCGGUAGGCCUAACACAUGCAAGUCGAACGGCAGCACAGGAGAGCUUGCUCUCUGGGUGGCGAGUGGCGGACGGGUGAGGAAUACAUCGGAAUCUACUCUGUCGUGGGGGAUAACGUAGGGAAACUUACGCUAAUACCGCAUACGACCUACGGGUGAAAGCAGGGGACCUUCGGGCCUUGCGCGAUUGAAUGAGCCGAUGUCGGAUUAGCUAGUUGGCGGGGUAAAGGCCCACCAAGGCGACGAUCCGUAGCUGGUCUGAGAGGGUGAUCAGCCACACUGGAACUGAGACACGGUCCAGACUCCUACGGGAGGCAGCAGUGGGGAAUAUUGGACAAUGGGCGCAAGCCUGAUCCAGCCAUACCGCGUGGGUGAAGAAGGCCUUCGGGUUGUAAAGCCCUUUUGUUGGGAAAGAAAUCCAGCUGGCUAAUACCCGGUUGGGAUGACGGUACCCAAAGAAUAAGCACCGGCUAACUUCGUGCCAGCAGCCGCGGUAA